AAACAGGAGAAAACAAAAAUAAAAGCAGGGAAAAGAAAACCCAAAUGCCCUUUUUCAUUUUUCAAUCUUCCCCCGAAUUUCCUUCUCUUACAGAUCCCCUCUCCCGAUUUUUCUCUUCUUGCAGACCCCUCCCUCAACGCGGCUACCACCCGAACAUGGCCGCCGACUUAUCGCACUCCUCGCCCAACGGCUCCCUGCUCGUCGAACUAGUCGCCGGCUCCUUGCACCGAACAGAUCUGCCAGGAAUUCGCUUUCUUGAUGCAUUUUCUGGUUUUCGUGAAGCUGUGAGUGUUUUCGAUUUCUCUUCUAUGUCGUGUUGUGUCGAUUGACAAGAGGAAAGUAUGCUAAGCGUGGUAUAUUUGAUCUCAAUUCUAAUUUUUACAUUUAGAAGGCUCAAAACUGUAUUCCUUUAAAUAUUGAAGGUACUUUUUUUUAUUUCAUUUUCAUCUCAAUGCAAGUUGUCAUCAUUCUAUUGAGGUAUGCAUUCUGUUUUGCUUCCUAAAAGAAUAAUGUAUCUUCUGGAAGAUUUUAAUUAGGGACUUGAACCAUCCUUUGUGUAGGCAUUCAAAAAUCAUCAUCACUAUUUGUGUUAGAUUAUUGUGUGUGCAAAAUGGACCACAAUUAUAUUAUGUGACAGAUUUUUUGUUGUUGAUGAUGAUCAUUUAGCUAUUGAGCUUUUUGCUAUUGGGUCGAAUUAGUUGUUAAAAAUUGAGAGUGUGUUUGGAAAUUUUUGUACUUGGGAUAUCCUUUAGAUAAGCAUUUGUCUAUUGGGGUUCUUUAGAGUUUCUAAAAAGUCCUUAGUCCUUUUCUUUUUUUUGUUUCUUUAGUUUUAUUGUUUUGGUGGGUUGGCUGUAGUCAAUGAGCAAAAUAAACUUUUACAGCAUGCCACAAUCAUAAUUCUUUUUCUAAACAUUUUGUUACUUAAAAUUGUUUUUUUAAUUUAAAUCCAAUCGAAAUGUGUUUUUGUGGACUCCCUUUGCUAUGGGACUUUCUUAUUUUGUAUACAACUCACAUUUUCAAUGAAGAGUUUACUCUAUGCAUGCUAUAUUUGUUUCGUAAUGUAUGUAUAACCUGCCAUGGUUUUGUUAUAACAAGGAAUGACAUGAAUAGUUUAUGCUGCUAGUGAAAGGGUAUGACCAUCUUUGCACCAGGAAUGAUCAACAAUGAUCAAGGUUUUCAAUUUUCUUAGAUGUAUCAGUUCAGACUUUGAUAAAGUCAAGGCCACUCUCAAAGGUUCUAUGAAAUUAAAGAUAGUGGCUUCUAGUUUGACUGGAUCGACGGUGAGGGACUCCCUUUCAGAGAAUCUUAUGGGCUACUAAGUAUUCUAGUUGUAGCAGUAGUUAGUAAAAUUUGCAAAUGUGGCUUUGAGAAUCUUUUAUUUUACUGGCCAUUGAUAUUUUUCUGUUCAUACUAAUGCAUGGCUUAUUAAUUGAAGUUUUCCAUAGCUGAGCAAUAAGUUCCAUUCAUACUAAACUAAGGAAGCUGGCUAUUUUCACUUUGGUCUGUGCUUAAAUUUUUAAGCAGUUUUAGUACUUAUUCAUUUUCUAUUGAACAGUCUCCUAGGGCAUAUGAUCAACUGGAAAUGGCAUCUUUUUUUAAUUUUGAAGUGUUUUUUUUACUGAAUGUGUUGACAAAUAUGUUAGAAUGAAGGAAAAGCUAGGAAAGUUCUGGAUAAGGCAGUUGAGCAUGGUGAAUUAUCCAAACCACUUAUUUAGACCUUGAUACAUUUUGAGGCAAUUCAGUCUACGGCAAAGAGAAUUGAUUAUUUAGAUUCAUUAGUUGAAAAGGUCAUAGUGCACAACAUAGAGAAAGCAACGGUCGUGAGUGCUUCAACGAGGGAGGAGUUAUCGAGCAUUUUCUUUGAGGUACAUUAUGAGACUUCGUGCAGAAUUGGUGGCAUUUCUCUACUUGGUUUCUUCUCUUAUUUGGAAUGAGUAUGUUCAAUUAUUUCGAUUAUAUGAUUUAUACUUUGGUAUGUAAGAGGGAAGUUGAAAUGCAAGGAAUGUACUCAAGGCAGUCACAGGCAAGGGAAGAGGUAGGGACGUGUGAAGAAGAUGAAGACGAGCACGGUGACACCUUAUGUGGGGCAUGUUGUGAGAACUAUGCUUCAGAUGAAUUUUGGAUUUGCUGUGAUAUUUGUGAGAAAUAGUUCCAUGGAAAAUUUGUUGUAUGAAGAAAUAAUUUAGUUUAUCAGUUUUCUUGUGAUGUAUUGAGCUUUCUAAAACAGGCUAGUUGGUUUUUGUUUAGGUUUGUUCUCAAAGGAUUUUUUUCCUUUAUAAAUAAAAUUGUAAUGGAUAGAAGAUAACAUAUAUUAUUCAAUGGGAUAUUAUAUGUAUAGUUCUAAGGUAA